UACGUAGGUGGCAAGCGUUAUCCGGAAUUAUUGGGCGUAAAGAGCGCGCAGGUGGUUGAUUAAGUCUGAUGUGAAAGCCCACGGCUUAACCGUGGAGGGUCAUUGGAAACUGUUUUUCUUGAGUACUGGAGAGGAAAGUGGAAUUCCUAGUGUAGCGGUGAAAUGCGUAGAGAUUAGGAGGAACACCAGUGGCGAAGGCGGCUUUCUGGACAUUAACUGACGCUGAGGCGCGAAAGCGUGGGGAGCAAACAGGAUUAGAUACCCGGGUAGUCCCUGA
rnacentral:rRNA from 1 species